UAUACUAAUGACUUAUAGGUGUCUUAUUGUAAACACCACGUGGCUUUAAUUUUUGUUCAUCCUUUUGGCGUCUCUUCCAUCCAAUGAAAGCUACCAUUUUCAGAGCCCAUCCCUCUCUUCCUGGCAAGUGGUUCUUUUUCUUCUUCAUCUAUCCCUUUUGCUCUUAUUUUAAUUUUUUUAUUUUUUUUCAACUCUCUUGAUAUAAUUGGGGUCUUUUGAAGAUGGUCACUGUAUUUUUAUGCACAGUAAAGUUCGAUCCUUAAUUCCUUCUUAUGAUGUUAUCUUUCUAACGAUUCUUCUUCCUCUGAUCUCUCGAAUGAGUUAUCUUUUGGACUCUUGCUAGCAUCGUGGAUGUAUGUUUUCCUCCUUUUCUUUUUUAUUUCCUCUGUUUUUCUCCUUUGUUGCUCUGCAUUUUUUUGGUUGAUUUGGGAAUAAAUGCUAAUUUUAGAUUAUUAUUAUUUUUGCAUGUUUUGGAUAAUAGCAAAUUAGCUCAAUUUAUUGUUCUUUUCGUAAAUUUGUAAAAUGGUAAAUAUAACUUCAGAAAUUUUCCAUACGUGUCUCUGCAUAAGUCGCUACCUAUCAAGUUAUUUCCUUGCAGUCCCUCAAAACCAUGGGCGUGCUUCUCUGCUUCUCUUCUAUGUUCAUCUUGGUAUGAAUUUUUGGCUCUCUCUUUUUCUGUUUUGGUUUGCUUACUCUGUCACUGUUUCUCCAUGUUUCUCCCUCCGUCUCUCUGAUUUCGUUAUUUUUGGUUUUAUCUCCUCAUCUUAUUCUUAUUAAUUAUAAAAUAAUUAAUUAGAUUCCACUGCUUUCAUCUGCAUUUCUUGAUUUAACAUCGAGAUUUAAAACAAAUACUUCUAUGUUGCAUGGUUACAGGGAAAAAUUAUACGAAAUUGAGGGAGAAUUUAGAACAGCAAUACAAACCGUGGUCCUAAUCGAGAAAGACCAUGAAGUGAAAAAGGAGCUUAUGGCUAAAAAAUUUGUAAGAAGGCUUGAAAUGUUUCUACUUCUUGGACAAAGUAAUCUAUUGUCUUUAAGGAGUUUCAGGCAUACAGAAUGUAUAACUCAAAUAUGAGAAAGGGAUAUCCAUUGAUCCAUUCUAGGGAGGGAAGGAGGGAAUAGUGAAGACGUUCUGAUUUGUUGGAGCCUUGGAGAUAAAAAGAAGGAUCAAAUGCAUGAAGUUAAUGAAUCGUGCAAUACAAUACAGACAUUUACAGAUCACAAGAAAGGGCACAAACAAGUACCUACAGAGCAGCCUGAAAGAUGAUUCUUUCAUCAGGUGCUGCAGCUCUGUCUUCACCUAUCCCAGGGUAAUGUGAGGGAUCAUAUGUUGAACACCUGAAGCGGACAUUUUGUGCAUCAAAGACGGAGGUAAUGCUCUAUCUCCUUUAUUUUCAUUACUCUUUCCCCCUGCUGAAGUGAGGAGGGUUAUAUGUGUCUCUUUUACAUUGAAUAAGAUAAGAAAAGUAUCUAUUGACUUUAGGCUUCAGGUUGGUUUAGGAUUGUGCUGGUUAGAGACGUAGAUGAAAGGUGUGAAUAUGUUAUUGAGCUUGCAUAUAAACUAAUAUCAACAUAAGUGACAGAAUUACUGUUCGAAAUGUGUUGUUGAAUGUACGUUGGUCCUCUAUAUAUUGACAUAUUAAAUUAGUACUAACUAUGUUGAGAAAGAGAAGUUUUUACGACAAAGAGAAGUUGUAGAAAGGACUAACUAUGUUUUUCGAAUUACACAAAAAAAUAGCAAAUUUACUUAUAUGGAAUUUGCAACUUUUAAUUUGGGAAUAACCAUUCAAGGAGCUUUUUUUCUUUUGCACUUAAGUUCUUUUAUAUGUGACUUUCUCUAAUUUCCAUUUAUGCACUUUUUUCUAUUGCAUGCAAUUUCCUUUUGCCAACAUAGAUUUACUUAUCGAGUUUUACCAUGUAAGUGCUCAUUGAUAUUCUGAAUGGUCAUAAGUUUCGGUUCAUCGUUUCAAGUUUCAAAUUCAACUGUCUUAUUUUGUGUUUAUCAAGUUACUUUUCACUUGCCUUUUUUACUUCAUCUUUGAUCUAAGUAUAUGUCGGCGGAAGAUGGAAAGAAGGAUGGAAAGGUAGAUGGAAGUCAUUGCGAAUAAUUUGUAAUGACUAUGAACUCAAUUAAUUACACUUCAUUAUUCUGACUUGCCAAACUUAUAGAAGUUAUAGAGUUUCAUUCUUGGAGAAGACGCGUUCACUGAGUCUUCAGUUUACACACAAGAAGUAUGGAGAGAGUACAAGGCAAGAAAAUACCUUGCAGAUUGUUCUAUUGUGGCUGAAAAGUUAUGGUUUGUGGCCUUACCUUUGAGAAUUGAAUCUGGAUUUAAUGUCUUUAUUAUAAUUAUUAAAGUGGUCAUGUUGCAUCCAAUUCAUAUUAAUAAAGAAGAAAAUUUCUGUGAAUUACUUUUGUGAAUUGUUUAUAUAGGUCAGUUUAUUCAUCAAGAGUGCCAAUAAUCGUGAGACUUAUUGUUUCA